GAUGAACGCUAGCGGCAGGCCUAACACAUGCAAGUCGAGGGGUAACGAUGUCUUCGGACAGGCGACGACCGGCGCACGGGUGAGUAUCGCGUUUGUAACCUACCUUUAACUGGAGAAUAGCCCGAAGAAAUUCGGAUUAAUACUCCAUAAUACUAUGAACUGGCAUCUUUUUAUAGUUAAAGCUCCGGCGGUUAAAGAUGGGCAUGCGUGACAUUAGUUUGUUGGUGAGGUAAGAGCUCACCAAGACUACGAUGUCUAGGGGGUCUGAGAGGAUGGUCCCCCACACUGGUACUGAGACACGGACCAGACUCCUACGGGAGGCAGCAGUGAGGAAUAUUGGUCAAUGGGCGCAAGCCUGAACCAGCCAUGCCGCGUGAAGGAUGACAGCGCUAUGCGUUGUAAACUUCUUUUGUACGGGAAGAAACACUUCGACGUGUCGAAGCUUGACGGUACCGUACGAAUAAGCAUCGGCUAACUCCGU
rnacentral:rRNA from 1 species